UAUUUAUAAUCAUAAGUUUAUUUAGUUUAUUUAUUUCAUGGAAACACUUUGCUGGAGAUUACAAAAGUUAUUAAAUUCAUUUGUAAAAUGAUUAUUAUUCCUCCAGCAAUUCAAAGUAGGGGUUAAAUUGAAUUCUACAUCAGUGUGGAUUUAAUGAGUUGUCGACUGUUCUGAAUGAGCAUAAAAAAUGGAGUACAUUUGUGGGGGCUUAGGGCCAUUUUAUUUUAUUUUAACUCUUACGUUCCUCGAAUCUAAUUUGCAUAGCUAAAGCAAUUAGAAACGCCAUCCAGCUGAGCAAGCAGAAAGUUGCGAUAAACUUUCUCACUCUCGGAUGCAAUCGACAAGGACUCCCGUCGGAUGCAGUUGGUUUGUUUUCAGUCGGGACUUUCGAGUCGGGACUUCUGUGCAUAUUUAAGCAGCUGCGAAGGACAACUUUCGUUCUAAAACUGUCAACGCAGACACGCCUACGCUUUUUUUAACGGGGUGAAAAAAAGCGGCGGAAUAAGAAUCGCAAUAAAAUAAAUUGUUUCAAUGCACGCCGAAGUAAUCCGCUUUACGGUCGCCCACUCCUUGCGGUUUAAGAUUUAUGCACUGCUAAGACCCGAUUUCGACUCUCUUCCCUGCCACUUUCCUUAUCUCGCAGAUUGUUUCUUUCCUUUUUUCCAACCUGAGUUGGGGAAAGGAAAGUGAAAGGGGGGCCAAGAUGGAAAAUUUUCAAUUAAAGUGUUGAAAAUUUAAAGUCUCGCCGGAUUAGAACGCACGCGUGUUGAACACAUGACAAAUUAGCUUCCUAAUGAGCCGAGACAUAAAUCCAAACGUGCCACGCCCCUCGCCGCGUAAAGAAUGCCCCGCCCACAAGUUGACACGUGUACCUGCCUUUCUGCCCGACAUUGGAACAACACGGAACGCGACGAGGCAAUAGGACUUCAUUACAGGAACACGAUGCCAAAUCCUUGGCUGAAUGGAAGGACAUGUAGCAGUGGAAGGGGAAGUGGGUGGCUGUGCUCCUCUAUUGAAAUUAACUGUUGAUACAAAGGCUUCGUUUGAGUCGGCGGCAAACGCCAUUGGUUAAUUAAUGGGUAAUGGGCUACUGCAGGAGCGUCCAAUUAGUACUGCUUUUCUAGCAUCUAAGAGCUUUUUACUCACAGCUGGGACUUACAUUUUCCCUUUGAUUUGGGCUUACUAGAGAUUUCAGCAAUCGCUUGUUACGCAACAAAACGUUUGUAAGCCCACUGUAUUCCAGGAGCCAAUUAACAUACGAAGGUUGGUGUCUGCCCCUCAGCUCUGCAGCAAAUUCAAAGAAAG